rnacentral:tRNA from 2 species
GCGGGGUUAGCUCAAUGGUAGAGCUCCGGCCUUCCAAGCCGGCGAUGCGGGUUCGAUUCCCGUACCCCGCUCCA